AUGGAAACUGUUGGAUGGUCCUAUGAGCUAGCCCACUCCAUCAUACUAAAAAACAUGCGAGCAGUUUUCUUAUCACUCAUCGGCGUUCCUCUCUCCAUCGGACCCUUCCUAUCUCGCCAUUGCGGAGGCGGCAGCAGCGACGACGCCGGAGGGACGACCAAGAGGCGAUGGCUACCUCUCUCGUGUGUGGAGUAUUUCCCUUUCCCUCUCUCACGCGGCAGCGAUUUGGAGGCGACGUGGGCGCUGCAAAGGUCCGGCGCAAGCUCGGCUGCGACAACGGACUUCUCCGACGCCCCUCUCCACAAUUGGCGGUCCUCCCGCCGGCAAAUGAGGAUUGAAAUUCUGCCAAGAAAUCUUAGAGCAGAAGAUGUUUGCAAGGGACUUGGAAGACGAGGGAAUGCUGCGCAGGCGAGAAAAUGGCAAUUUGGAGAAAUUCGUGGUUACCAGCAGUCUCGAGUUAGAUUUAUUUCAAUUGCAACCAGGCAGAGUGUUGUGAAUUUGAAUUUGGGUGUGCAUGAUCUUACUAGCUUCUAA
rnacentral:rRNA from 1 species